GUGUCGCAGACACUAAAGCAGUCAGUCAUGUUUUUCUGUGUUCUGAUCAACGCUGAAUAAACUUGUAAAUAAUGCUCUCCUGACUGCAACUUUUGGCUGUGCAUUAUCUGCUGAUAGAGCGUGCAUGAGCUCUAGAAUGUGGCAAGAUAUUUUCUAGAAACUCAUGUCGCUGCGUGCCUACGGGAGGUCGAUGGAUCGUCCGGCAGACGGCUUGGGGGCCUUGAUGGACUUUAUCUCCCUGGCAGUAUCCCAACAACAGGUUUCGGGCCCAGAUUCACAGCACUUACAGGAGAGUAAGACUGCGACAGACUGCUGAAAG
rnacentral:lncRNA from 1 species